rnacentral:lncRNA from 1 species
GAAACAGAGUGUGCUUUUGUGAUGUUUGCGGGUUUUGUGGUUUGUGGUUUUCCUUCACAGAGGAUGCAUUCGAAAGGAGAACAAGGGAACCAGACAAGGUCACUGCCUGUGUCCAUGUAGAGAGUUAUGAGUUGUGGAGGGUGUGAACCUAGGUUGAAAGAAAGUGUGUAAUCACUACCGGGAGAGAGUGGGAGAGAAACUUGGGGUUGGUGGUGGUUGUUGUUGUGUUGGUGGUGGAAGCGUUUUAUGGAGCGGGUUGAGGUCGAUUUGAGGAGGUGGUGGGUACUGUUGAAUUGGGUAUUGGAAAUUGAGUGUGUUAAGGGUAAUAGAAUAAUUUGAGACGAGGGUGAAAAACAGAGUAUGAAACAUAGUAGUAGUAGAAGAAGCAACAUGGGAGAAGACAUUGAUUGUUUGUUAUUAAGAGGAAGAGAGAACAGAAGAGAGAGUAAUAAUGAGAUAGAGAGAGAGAGAGGGGAUUUGAAUUGAAUUGAGGAUUACAAGGCAGGAUGGAGGGAAGAGAGAUUGUUUAUAAAGAAGAGAGUAUGAUUAAAGUUACUGUUGCUGGUGGCGGGCGCAUUUUAGGAUGAUGUUAUCUUCUUUACUUUUUGUUUGAAAGCAAUGUUUUCAUCUCUACUUAAAUCAAAAUAGUAAAUGAUGUAUGAGUUUAUUUCUAUCAUUUCAAAAUAUGAGUUUAUUUUUUUGUACAGAAAUAUUUCAUAGAUAUACAUAUUUUUAUACACCCAAAUAACAUCUUGAAAGCGAAAUAAAAUAGAGAAUAUGGUGUGUAUACUAGUGAUGUGGUGAGAAGAGAGAUGGAAUGGGAUGUUAAUGGCUUUAGAGAAUUUAGAGCACCCACAUCGGUUUGCUUUAGAGGUGUUUUUACAUAAACAAACAAAAUAAAGCAAGAGGCGAUUAUGGAUGUUCUUCUAUUCUUCUUUCUCCUUCAAUUGAAACAAGUAUAAUAGAAUAGAUGAAACUAAGAAAAAAUAAUAAAAAGAAGAAGAGAGAAAGAUAGGCAAUCUUAAAAAAUAAGAAAAAAAAAGGGAAAGGAGAAGUCUUUAAGCGUUGGCAUCCGAUUCUAGGGCACACAGAUUAUUUUCGGGAAUUUGUCCUGAAACCUUUAAAAAAGGAUAUAGUUGAUCAGCAGUGACAUUAAGACCGGGACAAAGCUCUUGUGCCUGCUCCAAUAUUUGAUUAUGGACCCUAAAUACGACUCCCACAACUCGAUUAAGGGAUUCUUAAGAUCUCUGUCGUGCGACAGCUAUCUAUUCCUCCGGGCUUUUCAAAAUAUUGAUUUGGUCAUCCUUCUUCUGCUGAAGAAUUUUCUGAUAUGUUUCAAACGCUGGGUACGCCUCUGUAACUUUCUCAGAAGCAUUCUUUCGACAUUCCUCUACAUCAGGCAGAGAAGCCAUCAAUUUCUUUAUUUGAGCAGCCAAAGUAGACGAACGACCAUACCAAUUCGACCUUUUCUUGCAAAGAGUUAAUUGCCUCAACUUUUGCUCGCAGAAGAGUCAACUCCUUUUUAGUUAUGGAUUGCCCCACUCAAGGGCUUCACAUUUCUCCCCCAGCUCAUCCCGCUCCUUCAAAAACUUGCUAGAUCCUAACAUAUUGUCCUGACCAGCAGCUACUAUCGAGAUCAGGGAUCCGACCUUGAACAAAGUACGAGAAACAUCUGCGAAAUGACUCUUCCUGUCAAUUUUUGAUAAUCCCUAGACAAAAGUCAGGUCCUCAUUUGCCACGACAACAACAAAUUCCUCUAGGGUGCUAAGAGCUCGAGAUGGAAUAAUGACGGGAAGCCAAAAGAAAGGAGUGAGAGCCUCAUGCUCGGUACACUUUGAUAGGCGAGCCCACCUCAAGUUAUUUUAACAAGAGAAAGGGACAACGGAGACUCAUGAAUAGAAAAUUCAGGUGCUGCAAUAGUCAAUUAUUCCACCUCAAGAGUUAUUCACGGGAUAAUAGUGUUGUCAACACCGGAGUCGUCACUACAGUCGACACCCGAACCUUCAGAACUGUUGGUGUAAGCCCUAGAGGUCAAUACUUUUGGUACUUGUAUCGAAUUAUUUAUUAAUAAUAAAAUGUUUUUUUUCUUUAUUAUGUUUGUUUAAUAAAGUCCCUAGAAUAGCUAGUCCGUUUAAUGUAUCAAAUGUGACUUAAUCAUGAGAUCCCAUUAAACAUAAGGACACUAUUCUUAAAGUAUCCGUAGUUGAGCUUUCUUGUGAAGUGGGAUAAUAUUUAAGCAUUAAGACUACUAUGUAUAUAGACUGAUGAUCGCAUCUCAUGGAUCAUGGAUAAGGAGUUAUCAAGUCUUAAACAUAGGUAUGAAUAUUAGGAGUAGUAAUUAUACUGGAUUGACCCGCUAUGAGAAUACUAUAUAGAAUGUUAUGCAAAAUGUCAUAAGUAAUUCUCAUGGUGAUAGUGGUGUAUACCAACCUUCGACCUGAAACAACUAUGGGCCCUAGAUGUAGAGUCGAGUGCUUUAUUGCUGAUCAAAUGUUGCCCGUAACUAGAUGACCAUAAAGACAGUUGACGGGUACUCCACGAAGCAUGCUAAGGGACAUGAGUGACCUAGAUGGAAUUUUCGCAUCCUGCGUAACAGGAUAAAUGUCUAAGGGCUCAAUAUUGAAUUGGAUAAGGAUGACACAGUCUAUGCCUUGUGUUCAAUAUAGACAUAAGGGCAAAAGAGGAAUUGUACACACAAGUAUUAGCACAAAAGGAUUUGUCAGAUCACAUGACAUUUUCGUGUCUUGGGUAGAAGUUAUGUGUUGCUAGAUAAAGCUCACGAUUUAUUAUGUUAAAUACGUGAUUUAAUAUAAUUGUCAAUGCCGCGAAAACCUACAAGGUCACACACAAAAGGACGGAUUGAUGAGAGAUAGAGUAAAUAAGGAACAUUGUAAGAUAUAGUGCACUUAAGUGAAUUGUAGAACAUCGUAAGGUACGGUGCACUUAAGUAGAAUACGAAAUAUGGCAAGGUUUCAAUCGCGACAAGAGGUAACGAUUCUAUCACUGAUCAUGCCCAUUCGUAAGGAUCACCAAAGGAGAAAUUUUUAAUUUUCGUUGUGUUUUGGAUCGCUAUUCUCCUUCAGUGGUAUCAGAUCCACUUGCGAAACCAUGCAUCUGAUAGCUGUUUAUUUUCUGUAUUUUCUAUAAUGCGAUUAAAAGACAGAAUGAAUUAAAUAAUAAAUGAGUAAUUAAAUUUGGCAUCAUGUGUGUACGAUUUGGAUAAUUGAUGUUGACUAUGCUUCAGAAUCCGACGUUAGUAUGGUGAAGCAGCGAUACAUCGAUCGUCCAUAGGUUACAUAAUUGAGAUCGAUCAAGUUAUAUAUAUGAUAUAAGUAAUUCUGAUGCAAAAUAUGGUAUAUAUGAUAUACUAUUUCUGUUUCGUUCAUUCAAACACUUAAUGGUUGUUUUCCUUUGAGUGAUCAAUGGUCAUUUGCUUCAGAAUCCGACGAAAGUAUGAUGAAGCAAUAACAUGUUGAUCAAUUAUACUGAAUUAACAAUCGAGGUGUGUUUGACAAUAUGCAAUUGGUGCAUUAGGGUUCAUGACGGUACAAAGGUUGUGCUGUCAAAGAGUUAUAUGAUUAGGGUUGUGACUGCGCAAGAGUUGUGCAUUCAAGUAUCAAGUGUUAAUGCGAAAAUCAACAUCAAUUUCAAAUGAAUUGUUCAGUCGCCGGCUAACUCCGCGUAGUGUGAUCAGUCGUCGAAAUUUAAUUUGGUUUAUUUAAUUAACAUAAUUUAAAUUAAUAAUAAUAAUAAUGUGUUUAUUAUUAUUGUCUUGUGGUGAUCGGUUAUGGCCUUAGUUUUCCUUUAUUUUGUUUUGGGAUUUUAAUUAAUUUGGUUUAUUUAAUUAACAUAAUUUAAAUUAAUAAUAAUAAUAAUGUGUUUAUUAUUAUUGUCUUGUGGUGAUCGGUUAUGGCCUUAGUUUUCCUUUAUUUUGUUUUGGGAUUUUAAAAUACAACCUGCCUGUCGCGCCUCUCUUUUAAUCUCUUAAUGUAACUUCUUUUCUCAUCUCACUCCCUUGUAUGUAAAACGAGUUUCUUUUAUGUAAUGUAAUAUUAUGAAGAAAGAUAAGAAUAUAAUAUCAAAGGAGGACAACCUUGAAGAUAUUUCUUGGAGAAGCUUAGAUCGUUAUUAGGUUAGCUUAGGUUCUCUCAUUGGCCUGGGGGAACAAUUGUGAUAGGGGUCAUAACUGUUUCAUUUUGUAUGUAUGUUGAUGCAUGUGAGAGACGAUUUAUAUGAUAAAUAAGCCGGUGAGAUCAGAAUAAUUGCAAAUUCCCUCAAAUUAAAUAUUAAGUUUAUGCUUUCCAAGUGUUAGCACUCAUCAAGACUAGUAUCGAAUAAUGUAGGUUUCGCCUACGCGAGGUGCAUGUUCUAUAUUAGUAAGGUGCGAUGGGAUAAUUGUAAUAUCCAAUUGCUAAAACAAUGGGUCAAACUUAACUAAACAAAUUAUAAAGAUUAUAUACGUUUAUGAGCAAGAGUUGGAAAUGACCAUGUGAUGGAUUGGAAUAAGGAGUUAUUCACCCAACUAAAAUAUUCGAGAGUUGUAUUAGAUACAAUUGGAAGGAGUUCCUACCUAAAUAACCUAGUUUUGUGUAAUCCGCCUACGCGAACUUAAAACAAAGUGAUAGAAAAUUCAGGUGCUGCAAUAGUCAAUUGUUCCACCUCAAGAGAUAUACACGGGAUAAUAGUGUUGUCAUCACCGGAGUCGUCACUACAGCCGACACCCGAACCUCCAGAACAAGAGUAGAAGUAACAAUAUGAGCCAUAUGCAUUUAGAGAGACGAUAUGGUUGUAAGACCCCGAUCAUUUGCAAAUGCAAGAGCUUUGUUAAACUGUUCCAAUUUAUCUACAAGGCACAAGCAGAAUGUUAAAAAAGGGGUUCCCCGAACCCCAUUAUCGCCAAAGAGUUAUUGUUUCUUAGAAUGAUCAAAUUACUAAUAAUGGACCAACUAUUUAUCCGUCUAUUAUUUUGUUGGAAAAAGAGUACUUCACCAAGGCCUAAUCCUUCUUCAUAUACGAGUCCCUGAUACCAGGAAAACAAAUCAUAUUUCAUCUUUACUUCCUUGGGGAUAAAGGAGUUAACCCAAAAUGGUAUGAAGAAAUAGGUUACUGGAAAUAAACCCAAGAUCAAUACUUCUGAAAAACCCCUCUGCAAGAGAUGGCACACCCCAUCGGGGCCGAAGAUGAACAACAAGCCAGAUGAGACUCAGAGGUGACAUGUUUCACCAUAAUGAAAUGCUCUAGGAUAUCACCCCAGUCAGAGGCAAAAUGGCUAAACCAAGGUACUCGGGGACGAAGAGAGAUCAAUCCUUGGUCUUGAGCAUCAUUUAGCGAAGUACCAGCCACUGAGAAAAGAUCGAAGAAGGGCUUCAAGGAAGGCUUCUAAGAUUUAUACUCAACAUAGAGUCGAAGCACCUUUAUGAAAUCCCACGCUUCGGGAUGAAGAUGUUAGGGAAUAACCCUUUAAAUGACCCAUGACAACCAUCUCAAAACCAGAUAAGGGAAAUCACAUUCCUAACCCAGUGAAAAGGCAUUCAUACAGAGGAACCGAAAAACCCUCAAAGGAGUUGCAUAUCCUUUCAUCUAAGCCUAUUGGGAAGAUUAACUAAUCUGAGGGAUUACCAAAUGUGAUUUCAACUUGUAUGACAACCUCAACAGUGUUCAAGAUGAAAAGAGUCCUAACUAUUAUGGAAGUCACCCAAUGAUAUAUGUUGGCGUUAUCCAGUUUAAUUAAUUAAAGACCCUUACAAGAUAACACAUCAGCUUUAUAAUGGUCACUAGGGUUGACCCAAGAUACGACAUCAAACUACCCCUAACACUCCAAGUGACGAGAAAUUUCAACAUCGCUAGGUUCCUGGCCAGUCACCCCCAAUAUUUUUUAACGAAGAAGCUAGCACUCUCCCUCCUUCAACGGACAAAUUCUACUUCUGCCUCAGUCACGCUAGGAGGAGACAUCAAUUUCUCAACAAGGUUUUCACCUCUAUCAAGUAUCCCCAGAAAGAGAGUCCCCAAAGAAUCCAUAGAAGGAGUCUAAUCUAAAAGAGAUUCUCCAAAAGAUCCAUCCAUUUUUGAAGCAUCACUCAAAAGGACGACUUCCCGUGUAAAACUCCCACUUACAAAAGGAAUAGAAAUCGAAUCAGACUUCAUUCCUCUUCUCUCGAAGAAGAAGUAUUUCCCUCCAGAUCAAUCUCGAUGAUGAUAUGGUUAUCAUUCAUAAUAGCAAAAAUAUAGUAAAAUGAUGGAAUGAAAAAGCUGAAGGUAAGGGAAGGUAUCUUGAAAUAUGAAGUCAAUGGCAGUAAAGGCAAAGAAGGCGACUGAAGGUCGAAGGUUGAAGCUUUAAGGAUUUGGGACUUUGAGCAUACAAUGAUGAUUACUCAUGGAAAAAUGCUCUUAUAGAAUAGGGAAAAGGUGCAAAGGAAAUAAGGGACAUCAAUAUGAGAAAUGGGCAAAAUAUUUUUCCAUUUUAUUUCCCUGUCCUUAUAUAGGCAAAGGAAAUCAAACAUAUCAGAUUGAAGGAAGAAGCAAGUAUAGAUCAAUAGUCAGAUUUCGUCUUGAGAACCCACCCAAACUCAAGAGCCAUCAAGUGAACAUUAAGUUAUAUCACACCACUCUGCACCUUUUUAGGUCACUCAUCAAGAGAAAAAAGGCUUAACAUUUCAAUGAUGGGAUUGCAUUUAAUGCUUACGUUCUCCAUUACUCUUUGGCAAUUAGAAAGUAAUUGCCAUCUGGCACCUAUGCAACUAUUCUCAAGGGCCGGCCACGACUACUAAAGACUCCUCCGAUACCCAGAGUUCCCAGCGAGUCUUAAGGGCAACUGUUCGUGCCGGCCAAAGGCCUAAGACUUAAUGUUCCACAACCUUUGCUUUAUCAUUAUCGUUGUUCACGACUUGUUGUAACUCCGAGAAUUUAUCUUUUAUCAUGCAGAGUUUUCAUUUGUUUUAGAAUUUAUAAAGGACCACCGGUGUUCGUCAAUGAUGGAGAAACACCUGUGUGGGUGUGAGAGAUUUACCUGCUUGCCUUAUGAAGAAAAUAAUGCAUGUGGUUGUAAUGUAGUGGAAAAUAUGCCCCUAGAAAUUUCUUGUUUCUUGCAACUAGAUGUAUUGAUUAACAUCGACUAUCAUUUUUUUCUCUAUAUUUGAUCGCUAUCUUCUAGCGAUGGUUACAGUAGUGUAUUACCCUGAAUAUGCAUAUACUGCAUUUGGCGGUUCUUUUUUGCUCUAUAGGGAAUGUCAAUGAUCGAGAAAGUAGAUGUCUGGUGAUCGUAUUUUAAACUACACUCCACGUCACAGAGGACUGUUCCCCGGCCAAGGGUAGGAUCCACGUCCCUGCCCCCGAGGCUGGGCUCUGAUAUAGGUAGACGUCUCCAAGCUCCACCACCCAUGCCUUAGGAUUGGCUAGAUUCAAAUGGGGAAUGUUCCAGCUAGGCAGAAGUGUGUUUAAUAGGCCUCAAAUGCGAGGUGUGCAUUUAAGUCAUAUCAGAAUUGCAGAAUUGUGCUAAGUCUGUAUCGUGUACACUAUUGGGCACAGAAUGUGCUUAAGUCGUAUCAGAAUCGCAUAAGUGAGUUAAGUAUGUAUCGAAUACACAUUCAUGCAAACGAUACAUUUUAAGUCGUAUCAUAAUCUCAUAAAUGCGUUAAGUCUGUAUUAGAUACACAAUAGGACCUGGAGCGUGUUUAUGUUGUAUCAGAUUCGCAAAACUGUGUUAAGUCCGUAUCAGAUAUACAACCAGAUGCGGAGUGUGCUUUUAGUCGUACCAGAAUCGCAUAAGUGCAUUAAUUUUGUAUCAAGUGCACAAUGAGAUCUGAAUAUGCGUGAGCCGUGUCAGAAUCACAUUAGUGCGUUAAGCCUGUAUUAGAAAUGUAUUCAUAUCGGAGGGAGAGAGAGCAGAGAGAGAGAGAGGCACAUAGUAGGAAGAAAGAAUAAGAUAUACACAUAUUUUCAUAUUAAUAAUGAAUUGAAUUUAUCACAAUAAAUAAAGAACUGUCGGGUGGUUAACCCUUGACGGUGACUGAGUGACCAGACGAUAAUCCAAGGUCUUCAACCAUUGCUCUUCCUUGAGGCUUGGGUUGAAUGAGCCUUGUAACACCUUUACCAAACGACAUAUUUAAAGUAUAUAUCAGAGUAACACAUGUAGAAGAGUUUACAUUCUUAAACAUACACUUAUCGCAUCCAACAUAAUCAUAUUAUUUAUUUUAUUAAAACUCGCAGCGGACAAACAACAUAAAUAUAUAAAAUGUUUCAACAUUAUCUCAACAAAUUAGUCAUCAUAAACAACGUAAGUAAUAAUAAUUCAGCUAUCGAAUCCCAUAAUCCCGGGUCACAUGACCAGAGCAUUUGACUCGACUCUGUAGAAUAACUCUACACUUAUUCUUCGAACCUCAACAAUAGCUACUCCACUUUAUCUGCACAUUGCUCAUCAUAGAUGAACAUAACACAUGCAGAAGGUGAGAAUUACAUAUAAAUAAUAAAUAUAACGACAGAAAUAUAAACAUAAUAUAAUUCACAUAUGCCAACACAGCUCAUCAUAAUCAUCAUAACAACGUACUCUGAACAUCAACAAAACACAUAUCAAAUGCAAUGCACCACACCUGCAUGACUCAACACGACUCGGUAUACCAUUUUGUGACCAACUACAGGAUCACCACUCAGAUUCAUCACCAUAGAAUCGAGUUCCCACGUAAGGAACCAAGCUCUUCAACAAGCCGGAGUCAACAACAUCAUUGGAACUCAGUCCGUUCAUCACUAGGCAUCGGCCUUUCAUGAAUGCAUGCACACCAACAUGCAUCAUACAAAAUAGCAACAACAGCAUCAUAUAGUCAUGUUAUCAUCAUCAUUAACACAUUCUAUCACAAAGCAUAUCACAUCAUGCCACAUAAUCAAACACAGUAUUAUCACACUCUACUAAUAUCUAUACCACUCAAAGCAACGGGAAGUGAUCCCUCAUAUACUAUGCAUCAGCUAAGUUACCUCGCUCAGCCUAAACAACCAAAAACUGCACAACAACAGCCCAGGAAAGACCACAGUCUGCCCAUACGCGUAUUGCCUAUGCUCAUACGCGUAUUGCCCACGCCUGACCAAAUCCAUACGCGUAAUGCCCACUCUCAUACGCGUAUGCUACGCGUACUACAUCCCCAUACGCGUACCAACAGAGACAAUUUCACGUUCAAAACAUCAUCGUCCUCGUCCAUACGCGUAUUGCCUAGCGCCAUACGCGUACCAGCCAUUUCAUACGCGUAUUGCCUAGUGCCAUACGCGUAUGACCAGAAACCAGAUCUCCAGAUCUGCAAUGGCUUUCUCUGCUACGGGAUCUAUCCGAAUUCAUCCUCCCACAGUCCAAAUUUCGCACAAAAUCACUCAUAUCAUCUAAUACAAUUAGUCUCCUAUUCGAUUUCACAAAUCCUAACAUCAUUGCAUAUAAUUUCUACGAAUUCCUUCGAUUAAAUCCCAAUUUCGUUCAUCCAAUAUUUCACCAUUUUCCUUUUUAAGAAUUGAACGUGUGGUCAAAUUAGCUGAAGACUAUCCUGCCCCGGGUUUAAGAUGUGAGGGUUUCUCUGCUUGGAAGAAAUACUUCUAGGCUCAAAGGGGUUGACUAGGGAUUAUCAUUCUUAUACCUCUAGUGUUUGGGGAUUUGAAGCAAUGCCUUACAUCAUCAGCAAGGUGUUUAUUCAAAAGCAUACAUGCAAUGAGCUAUUGUACCUUAUAUUCAUCAUUCUCCUUCUAAGUUUCAUUUUAAAACAAAAGUAAGAUAAGAGUGAACACGAUUGGAUUGACUUAAAACAUGCAUAUUCAUUUCAUUGUUGCAAAAACAAGUUUUUAAGAGUGAAUAUUACAAUGACAAGCAAAAAAGUUACACAUGAAAACAAAUGAAUGAUAACAUAAUUGCUGGCAUGAUUAGCCUUGUUUCAACCGCAGACAAGUGUCAUCAUGCUUGUAGGAACUUAUGUAUGAUAGUCCCCAAGGAGGAUCUUAUUCAGCUUCUUGUUCCUCGUCCAUUGACACUGGUUGUGGUAUUACAGAAGUGCCUUCAUGUGGCAGCAUGAGGUUGCUCAGUAUAUCCAGUCCAUUUGGUGUGAACCCGAUAGCCUUUGAAUCAAUCAGUUCCUGAACCUUGCAUUUGAAGGCCUUACAACUCUCGAUCGAGUGUCCGGGUGCUCUUGAGUGGAACUCACACCUAGCAUUCAUGUUGUAGUUCAAGGGAAGACGUGUUGGAGGAGGUCAUAGUACCCUUAACUACACCAAUGAUCUGUUGAGAAGAAGCGGUAGAAUUCGACCAUAUGACAUGGGAACUGGGUCGAACUGUUUCUCUGGCCUCUUUGAUUUUUUCUGGCCUCGUUGAGCAUAAGAGUUUUUCCUUCCACUUAGGUAGAAUUCGACCAUAUGACAUGGGAACUGGGUCGAACUGUUUCUCUGGCCUCUUUGAUUUUUUCUGGCCUCGUUGAGCAUAAGAGUUUUUCCUUCCACUUGAGUACCAAUUCUGAUUCUGCAUUUAGUUCCCCAGAGCUAGCCGAGGAACAAACACUGGCUGUUGAUUAAGAAACCUCAGCAGUUCGGGUUGGGAAGGUAUCCCUGAGGCAACUCAUGAUGUAAGAUGGAGCCGGACAAAGGCAUAGGGGACACCAUUUCCAUCCUGGAGGUUAGUGUGGGAUUUCCUUCCUUUUUCAACAGUGUUUGCAAGAUUUCCAUAACCAAGCUCAUCUGAGUCUUUAGUUGGCUGAUCUCUUCCUUCAAUGCAGCUUGGCCUUGUUGGAGUUCUUCCAUAGUGGCUUGAGACAUGCUUCUAGUUCUAAGCGUACUUCGGGAAAUCAGCUAGUGGGGUAGAAACAGAAGGUGGUAUAAGGUUUUGCUUAUGAGAUGCAAAUGAUGCAUGAAUGCGAUGUUUAUUUAUGAAUGAAUGGGUGAGAAGAUUUCCACAGGUUUUUAGGUUCAUGGGUUUGAGACCAUCGGUUGACGAAGCAUUGAUUAAUAAUGACUCGCUUUUAAAACCAAGGUUCUCGCUUGUGUGUGCCAUCUAAGGCUUAAAUUGGGUGUAAGACACUGCCCCUAGAGUCAUGGACUUCCUUGACUGUCAGCCGCUUAUGUCAAUUUACUUGCCAGGCGACUGCUCCAUCAAAGUCAUCUACUCUAAGUGAGAUCUUCGUAUCAACCCUUAUUAGGAAGGCACCUCGGUGGCCUAUACGACGCGACCAUCGGUCUAGGCUAGACAUAUUUUCAAAGGUUCUAAAAGGGGUCUUAGGGUCAUUGACUCUAGUAAAAGAAAAGAUGCUUACGUCGAAAGCACGACAGUCAUCAAUCCCCUUAAGAGAAUCCACCACUAAGUGAGGUUCUCGUACGACCCUAACGAGGAAGGCACCUCAUAGAUCAAUACUACUCAACCUCUCCUAUCUCAAGUAAGUUCUCAGACUCGGGUGGAGAGUCUUUCACACAAGGUUUUUUCCUUUGCAAUCAUUAUUGCUUCCAAAAAUUCUUCGUCACAGAGUUAGGGUUUCGGAUCCACAGGUAAACAAAGAAAAUAUGCACAUGUUAGCAAAGAAAGCAAUAUAUACAGAAAAAUAGAUAACAGAUAAAUCUUCACGUACGUAAAAGAGAAGCAACCCAAACUAGGCUAGACUUGCUUAGGGAAUUUUGGUGUCCCCAGCAGAGUCGCCAGCUGUCGCUAACGGGAUUUCACGAUAAUGAUAUCGGGACUAAAGAGAAUGCCAAAGAGAGGUAAAGUCAGAAGAGUCACCACCGAGUUUUAUUUAGUUUACCUCUAUCGGAGAGGAGAGGGGAAAUAGUCGAUAAAACCCUCGGAAAAGAGAUGCGCACGGGAAGCGCUAAAAGAGAAUAAGGAAUCGGUCUCGCAACCGAGAAUUGGGUUUGGAAGUCGGUUAUGUAUGGGGAAGGUAUUAGCACUCCUUACGUCCAUGGUACUCCAUGGGAACCAUUUGGGUUGUUUUACAUACAUGGGAUUUAUCUACUAUUGUUUUAUUUUUAAAAGAAUGUGUGAAAGAAGGGGGUGUUUUUGUUAUUAUAGUGCUUGCCAAGGAUUGUGGCAUUGUGCCUACGUAUCACUCAUUCGGGGAUUAGGAAUCAGAGCUCCGUAGUUUGGAGUAGAAAAUGUUUGUGUGUUGGUUGAUUUUACCUUUGAGAAAAGGGUUUUCAGGAUGAUGCCCUAAGGUACAAAAAUGAGUUUGAUGAGUUGUAUUGUUUUUACCUUGAACAAGGGUUUUAUGAAAGAAUGUUUGUGAUUAUAUUGUACUAAAGUCUAUGGGCGGAGGUGAUUAUUCUAGACAACAAGCCAAGCGUCUUGCGUCCAAAAUAAUCAGAGUAAGGGUAGGAAUGCUCCAUUCUCACUCAUUCUCCACCACUUAAGGCUUGUGCGCACAAUAAUGAUCGUAAUUAUUAAGUGUUUUGAAUUUGAUUAUAAAAAUGCCACUUGACGUUGAAUCAAGGGUUAGUUUAUUUAAUUAUGAAAUUUUGGCUUUAUGCAACAUGAAUGCAAAGUAACCACCAAGAAAUUAAAGAGUCUCAUUGUAAGGUAGCCCAAGAGAAAUCUUUUUGUGCAAAAGUGACCUAAGCUAAACAAAGGAUAAUGGUCUUACAAAAGUCCCCCUAAGGUGGUGCCAUGAUGCCAUUCUUACAACAUGCAUGUAAGUUACGGAUGAAAAUCCAAGUGCUUACAAAGUAUCACAAAGAGUAAUGAAAAGGCCUCCAAGCAAAGGUCCUAAGAUGAAAUACUCUAAGUCCCAAGUUGAUUAAGAGUGGAGUGAAUAUUUUUGGUCUUAUAUCAUUUUAUCAUGUUUUUGUUAUUUUUAAUGUAUGAUGACAAUAAAAUAAGUAACAAGUAAAUAAACAUGCAUGAUGAGUUUGUACAAUGGUGAUGAUAAUGAGGACUUAAAUAUAAAUGAACAAUAAAAUAAAUUGCAAGGAAGUAAAGUGCAAUAAUAUAAACGUUAGAAAUUAGUAGUUAAUGGUUAGUGGUUAGUAGAAUUACAAUAAGAAAAUAGAAUAACAAGUUAAUGUAAAGAGAAUGGUUUCAUCUAUGUAUCAAAUGACCCAAGUAUGGUUGAAAUAGAGGCAAUCUAUCAAUGCCUCAAAGUAUCAUGAAUGAUCUAUUAAUCAACCAUUAAUAGGUUUGAAGUAUUGAAGAUUUAAUCAACUCUAAACAACCAUGGUCAUAAUCUAAUAGAACUCAUCAACCAAAUAAAUGUAACAACAAGUCAACAAUAAAUAUUAAAUGAUAACAAGAAACAAUGUAAAGGAAAUGGUUUCAUCUAUGUAUCAAAUAACCCAAACAUGGUUGAAAUAGAGGCAACCUAUCAAUGCCUCAAAGUAUCAUGAAGGAUCUAUUGAUCAAUCAUUAAUAGGUUUGAAACAUUGAAGGUUUUAUCAACUCUAUACAACCAUAGUCAUGAUUUAAUAGAUCUCAUCAACCAAUAAAUAUAAAUGAUAACAAGAAACAACAUUUGAUUGAAAAUGGUGGAUAAAAAGUAGUAAGAGCAAAAAAUCCCCAAAAGGGUGUAAACCCAACAAAAACACUUGUCUCAAAGUUGACUCAAAUCUCUCUCAAAACACAACCCAAGGGUAAAAACUCAUUUCCAAACACAAAACAAAACCAAAAAAUAUCAAGGAGUUUGAGUCCAAAAUAUUACCAAGAUUGUGGUGUCAAAACUAGGUUGUUGUUGUG